rnacentral:misc_RNA from 1 species
CCGAUUCCCACAAGGACGAGAUCGGCGCGCAACCGCGCACCGCUUCGCGUUCUCACUACGCCGGCAAGGCCGUUGCGGUCCUCGAUUUCUGCAACACCUUCGUUGAGCCGCACAUCGACGCCGUGCCUUGUAUGCAGAUCGAGCAGGAACUGCGAGACGACCGGCGAGACGGAGCGUUCGAGCAGCCGGGACGCGCUCUCGAUGACGGUGACUUUCUUGCCGAGCUUGCUGGCGGAUGCU